rnacentral:rRNA from 1 species
AAUUCGACGCAACGCGAAGAACCUUACCUACCCUUGACAUCCUCGGAACCUGCUAGAGAUAGUGGGGUGCCUUCGGGAACCGAGAGACAGGUGCUGCAUGGCUGUCGUCAGCUCGUGUCGUGAGAUGUUGGGUUAAGUCCCGUAACGAGCGCAACCCUUGUCCUUAGUUGCCAUCAGGUAAAGCUGGGAACUCUAAGGAGACUGCCGGUGACAAGCCGGAGGAAGGUGGGGAUGACGUCAAGUCCUCAUGGCCCUUACGGGUAGGGCUACACACGUGCUACAAUGGACGGUACAAAAGGCAGCGAAACCGCGAGGUGGAAGCGAAUCUUGUCAAAGCCGUUCGUAGUCCGGAAUUGGAAGUCUGCAACUCGACUCCAAUGAAAGUUGGAAAUCGGCUAGGAAAUCGU